GACAGAGAUGGAGGACAGAUGAAGGAAAAAAACUGGAAACAAAGAAGAAAAAAACCAGAUUGAUCACUUCAAAAACUUCUCAGAGAAUGAGGACUAACAGACCCAGCUUGGCAAGUACUCGCCGGCAUGGCCCACCCUUUGGCUAUUCAACAUGACAACUGUGUCUAAAGUUCACACUAGUGUUUUAAUGUUUUAAGUUUACAGUUUUGUGAUGGCGGAUACAGACUUGGGAGGAUAAAGGAAUGCGCUUCAUGACCAUGUGGUCUGAUCUGUGGAGAAUUUGACUAUGAUCCCCUCUCCUCCCCAGCUCCCCCUCCCCUCCCCUCUCUCCUGGCUUCUCAGACGUUCAGGUAACAACUUAGCUUGGUUUUAGUGAGAUGGAGCGCAAAUGUGGUGAUUUAAUUUUUAUUUUUCGUGUGCUCUCUUGGGGCCGGUACAGAAAUCUAAUCACAAGCUAUGGGGCCUCCUACAAUUUGUACUUCAUUUCUUCGACAAAUUUCCAUUUAUGUCAAUUCUCUGCCAGGGGUUUUGUCUUCAGCUGGGGCUAAUGUCUUCCGAGUCUAGCGAACUGAUGAUAGACUUGACCGCAAACAUCAGCGGACGUCAGAGCUAGCCUGACAGGUGGGUCACCUAGACAACAAACUGCUCGUUAGAUCUGCUCGCUUGACUUCCUCAUUUCAGCAGACACCACCGUGGAUGUAAGGACAGCUGUACAGUUAAAUUCAAUAGUAAGACAACAAUGAGAGCAAUGAUACAGGGAUACAGAAAAAAAAACAAAACAAAACUCUCUUGUUCCUCAGCCUGGCAUGGUGCACCUUGCGUAGGAGACUCCUACCACACCUCCAGAUCCUCUCAGGUGCCCUUCGGGUAGGACAGGGAAAAGCCCCUGCCAGAGCAGAGGGCACCAGCGCAGGCUGGGCAGGACUGGACUCCCGACACAGGAGUUUUGCAGUUAGAAUUGUGUGUGUGUGCAGGCUUCAUUGCCUAACGUUCUCUUACAAAACUUGCAGAUUUCAUGGUGGUGACCAUAGAACAUCAUAUCUCCGGGACCCUCUUGGAUCUUGGUCACAUAGCUGGGAAGUAGACCCUGCCUACAAAGCACAUGACUCUCUUCCUCUCACAGUGCCCUUCCCACGUCCUUUCCCUCUCUCCAUGUUGCCUUCCUUCCACAGGACUUGGCUGUAACUUGGUGUGUGCCUGCCUGGCACAAGAAGCCUGCCUCUGAUCACACAGGGGUUUUGUUUUUUUGUUUUUUUGUUUUUUUUAUCAAUUUUUCUAGAGUCUUUCACAUGGCAUGAAUUUUGAGGAGUCUGGGACAUAGUUGAACCAGUUGAAAGACUUUUUUCUUGGAAAGUGCUAGCUCCUAGAAAAGGAAAACAGGCAAAAGUGCCAGCAGUUUUGUUUCCAGUUUCCUGGAAGAGAAAAGGAAUUCGGGUUGCCAAGGUGAUUCAAAGGGCAAACACCUCCCCCUCCCUUCAGCUUCCCCUCUUUGUAUUGGAGGGAGCAUUAAGGACAGAGGAGAAAAACAAAAGGAGGCCUCUCACCUCUGCUCCUUCUCCUUGCCUGACCCUUGGCAGCAGUCACUUGGCAGUGGCUGCAGCCAUGGGCACCUGUGUGUGCCUCUUGUAAAAGUCUGACCGACUUGUCCCGUGUGUCUUGGGGGCUGGGAUACUGUAGACCAUCCCUCUGAAUAAGGUGAGACCAGACAUCUCACCUAGCUUUGCACUUCUUUCUCCAUGCCUUUUGUUGGGGGAUUUUCCAGAUAAUUCCUUUGCCUGCUCCUUGAUCUCACAAAAACCAUUAUUAUUUGUAUUUCGCUCUGCAUUUGUAUGAGUUUUCUCAGACAUAAUGGCGAUAGCUGUGUGCAUGGGGGAGAUUGUUUACGGCUGAGUCCUUUUCUACACCCGCUCCUGACACGGAUCCCAGGAGGUAGCUGCUAUUAUCACUGGCACAUUGGAGAGGUCAGAGAACAGAGGCAAGAGGGACCUAAGGAAUCUGCUCUGGCUCACAGCUAAGGAUUGGCUGAGCCAGGAUUGACGCUGUAGAGUCUGUAUGCUUUGAUCUUUGAGGAAAAGAUCCUGGAGGUUCAAGCUGAGGAAGCUGAAGUGAAAACUGCUGACCAGACCUAUCAUAUAAAGUCAUCAAAUCAUCAUGAAAACACAUCUCCGGGUGUGUCUGUGAAGGUGCUGCUGUAGACGUGGAAACAGACGGUAGACUUUUCCUGAAUGUGAGGAGCACGGUGCCAUGCGCUAGAGUCCCAGACUUCAUGACAAGGAGAAUGGGAGCUGAGCCCCUGAAGUUCAACCGCUUCCUGACUGUGGAUGAAGUGUGAUCAGCUGCCUCCAGCUCCUGUCACCAUGCUUCCUCCCAUGAUGCACUGCAUCCCCGCAAACUUCAAGUCUGAGCAACCCUUUCAUCCUUCAGUUGCCUUUGUCACAGCAACAAGGGUAAUAAUUAGAUGCAGGAUAAGUUGUGUGGUGCCGCCCUUUUACAGGGAAUUCUGAUCCUCUUCCUGCUUUAAAUGGGCGGAUAUAAACACCACUCCUCAUGUGCUAGUGAGUGUACAAGUGGAAGUCAACGUUUUAGUGCCCAUGCUAACGUCUCCUUAGUUUCCUUAAAGGCCUGCGUGCUUAUGACGUGCUAAAGCUGUAGCCAGACAAGUUAGACUGGAAUGGAGAUAGUGAGUCUGCAGAGUGAGCAGUUGAGAGCAGGCUCCAGGCUAACUAGAGAGAAAAGAGCCCAAUACCUCUGAAACAUUAGAAGCUGAACUGUUCUCAGCUCUUUUGGGAGCCAGAGUCCUAACUACUGUAGUAAGACAGGAGGAUGGAGAGAAAGUAAGAUGCCUGGGGAGGGAGAGCUGUAACUGACAUGUGCAUGGUAUGAGAUUGUCUAGGUAGCAUAUUGGAAAAGACAGACGCCACCCAAAGCCUGAAAAUUAAUCAACAAUUAUAACAAGUUUUCAGGAUGUAAGACAUAUUUUAUGCAAAAGACAAAAUACUUUUAUCUAUAUAUUGGCAAUGAACAAAUAGAAUUUGAAAUUAGAAACUA